GGUGGAAUAACUGGGUCAAAUGGUGGCUCCAUUUCUAGUUUUUUGAGGAAUUUCCAUACUGCUUUCUGGAGUAGUCGCACUAAUUUGCAGUCCCACCAGCAAU
rnacentral:pre_miRNA from 1 species